rnacentral:rRNA from 1 species
ACGAACGCUGGCGGCGUGCUUAACACCUGCAAGUCGAACGGAAAGGCCCUGCUUUUGUGGGGUGCUCGAGUGGCGAACGGGUGAGUAACACGUGAGUAACCUGCCCUUGACUUUGGGAUAACUUCAGGAAACUGGGGCUAAUACUGGAUAGGAGCUCCUGCUGCAUGGUGGGGGUUGGAAAGUUUCGGCGGUUGGGGAUGGACUCGCGGCUUAUCAGCUUGUUGGUGGGGUAGUGGCUUACCAAGGCUUUGACGGGUAGCCGGCCUGAGAGGGUGACCGGCCACAUUGGGACUGAGAUACGGCCCAGACUCCUACGGGAGGCAGAAGUGGGGAAUAUUGCACAAUGGGCGGAAGCCUGAUGCAGCAACGCCGCGUGCGGGAUGACGGCCUUCGGGUUGUGAACCGCUUUCGCCUGUGACGAAGCGUGAGUGACGGUAAUGGGUAAAGAAGCACCGGCUAACUACGUG